AGUGAACGCUGGCGGUAGGCCUAACACAUGCGAGUCGAGCGGCAGCACAGUAAGAGCUUGCUCUUACGGGUGGCGAGUGGCGGACGGGUGAGGAAUACAUCGGAAUCUACUUUUUCGUGGGGGAUAACGUAGGGAAACUUACGCUAAUACCGCAUACGACCUACGGGUGAAAGCAGGGGAUCUUCGGACCUUGCGCGAUUGAAUGAGCCGAUGUCGGAUUAGCUAGUUGGCGGGGUAAAGGCCCACCAAGGCGACGAUCCGUAGCUGGUCUGAGAGGAUGAUCAGCCACACUGGAACUGAGACACGGUCCAGACUCCUACGGGAGGCAGCAGUGGGGAAUAUUGGACAAUGGGCGCAAGCCUGAUCCAGCCAUACCGCGUGGGUGAAGAAGGCCUUCGGGUUGUAAAGCCCUUUUGUUGGGAAAGAAAAGCAGCAGGUUAAUACCCCGCUGUUCUGACGGUACCCAAAGAAUAAGCACCGGCUAACUUCGUG
rnacentral:rRNA from 1 species